GACAGAGGCCUCAAGCGUUAGGCGGAAUCACUGGGCUUAAAGCGUGUGUAGGCGGAUCGUUAAGUGUCUUGUGAAAUCCCACGGCUCACCCGUGGGAACUGCUGGGCAUACUGGCGAUCUUGGGCCAACUAGGGGCAACUGGAACAAGCGGUGGAGCGGUGAAAUGCGUAGAUAUCGCUUGGAACGCCAAAGGUGAAAACAGGUUGCUGGGGUUGUGCCGACGCUGAGACACGAAAGCCAGGGGAGCAAACGGG
rnacentral:rRNA from 1 species